rnacentral:lncRNA from 1 species
AGAGAUCAAGCACAUUGACACGGUGAGAGCUUACUCUAUUGGUUCUCUUUACUUCGCGGAGGUCGACAUAGUAUUGCCUGAAGACAUGCACUUGAAAAAAGCCCACAAUAUCGGGGAAACACUUCAGGAGAAGCUUGAGCGAUUGCCCAAAGUUGAGCGAGCUUUCGUCCAUGUUGAUUUUGAGUUUACUCACAGGCCAGAGCACGAGAAUAAAGUAAGAGGUUGAUGAUCAUAUGUGACCAUUUAGAUUUGGGUCGCAACUCCCUUUUCUUAUUCCGUUUAUAAUACUGCUUCUACUUGCAUUGGAAGGACAAGCCCAUGCAAAAGCAUCUUAUACCGACUGACAUGUACUGAAGAUCGAUGUUUGGUUAAAAGAAUGUUGAGAAUUACUUGUGAAAUAAUGCGCUAUCACUUUCUUCUUUCAUUGUGAUGACUGAACUACCUUCAGAGAAAGAUGCUUGAAUCUUCCCUUUCCCAAGACCAUAGCUUUUUCCUCCAGGGAAGCAUUCUUCCCAGCCCCAGUGCUUCUGUGUAAUAACUCUACAACUUUCUCGAUACAAAGAAUGCCACUCUUAUCCAAGCGUCCUAGGUGGGAAUUGUCAAAAGGGUUGAGCCUUGGGGUGGUACAAACGGUCCUACGGUGAAAUUUUACUAUCAAAUUGCUGAUGCGUCAUUCUCUUCGAUGAAUUAAGUACAAAAUGACAUCAUUUUCGGUGAUGACGUGGCUAUAUAAACACAAAACGACUUCAUUUUGCUUAUGGAUUCAGAUUUUUAAAUAAAUAAUAAUUAAAUAAAUUAAAAGAACUAUUAAAAAAGAAGAAGCAAUAGCAGCGUUUGACAAGGGUUGUGUAGACCCUUGCCAUUGCUACCCCACCAUUGCUGGCAAGGGCCAACAAUGGUGUGGGGGGGGGGGGGUCAGUCGGGAUUGUCGAGCCUUAGGCAAGGGCUAGGGGCCGACGGCCCUCGCCGAAUUUGGAGGAGGGUUGCGACCCUGCCUAGGGCUCAAUGACCCUGGUUGACUCUUCCCCAUCGUAGUUGGCAAUGGUGGGGCAACGAUGGCAAGGGCUGUACAGGCCCUCGUUGAACAUUGCACAUGUUUUUAUUAUUUUUUAUUAUUUUUUAAUAAUAAAUUUUGGUUAUUUUAAUUUAUUUUAAUAAAUAUAUACAUUAAAAUUUGAUUUUUGAGACAAAAUGACGUUGUUUUGAUCUUUGUUGCUGAUUCAACUUUCUAAUGUGUCAUGUAAAUCACUCAUAUUAUUGAAAAUGCGACAUCGGAUUUCCGGCCACUAUCACUGGAUUUAACACUUAAAUAUCAUUUUUUUAAAGUGAUACUUAAGUGUACAUUUUGGAAAUUUUGGUACUUAAGUGUCCAUUUGUGCCAAAUUUUGGUAUUUGCGCUGUACUUUAGCGUGUGUUUGGUGGCCUUUCCUCCUACAUGAACAUGAGGAAACCAUAUUACACAAUUUGAGGAUUGAACCGCAUGAGCUUCAUAAGGAAUAUGCACGGCACAAGUUUUUUUCUUGGGCUACCAUACUAAGCUAAUCACAAACGGUGUCGUCAAAUGAGCUUUCUACACCUCCUAAUUAAUCCGCUUGCUUUCUCUGAAGAAUCAGUCUGGCACAGUUUUUCUUUAAGUAGAUAGCUAGGAGAGUAAGGGUGACGUUUGAUAUGAGGUUUAGAAUCUAUAGAUGUGACCAAAUUGCCAAUGCUGCACUUCAUUAUGUGUGCGCAUGGAGGUCAUAUGCUUUGUUACAUACAUAUGUAGACACAUAUACAAAUCUAUGAAUAAUACAAAUGUGCAAAUAUGGGGCAAGUGGCUCUAGGGUAGAUGCUAGAAAUAUCAAGACCCCAUGAUAAAACUUGUUCAUAACUGAAGAUGGGACAUUAAGCAUCUAACAAAUCAACUACAUGAUGCUCCAAAGUUCACUUAACUUCAAAUUUAUAACUUAAUCAGUUCAAUGAGACGGAUAAUGAGUCUGAAUACUAUCGGAGCAUCCCAAACGAUUACACGCGAAAUCUUUCUCCCUUUCUUCGUUUUCUCCUUGUUCUGUGCUGGUUUCAAUGACUUCUUCUUCUUCUUGUUGUUUUUUUUUUUUAAUUAUUAUUUUUUUUUUGGGUCAGAUGGCUUCCAUGACUUCAACGCGUAUCAUAUGACAUGUGAAGGAAAAUGAAGGCGGGCUGAGUUGGGCCAUCACUAUGACAUCUGCAGAUCGAGACCUCUUAGAAGAUGUGGAGCCACGUGCUAGGUCCUUCGUAUCGGCAGAUUUAAACUCAACAUCCUUAGAGAAGAAAAGACAAACUAUCAAAUUAAUUUUUGUUUCACAAACGAGAGUACCUUUCAGUUGCCAAAACAACAAGAAAGAGAAGGAGGAGGAGAAGAAGAGAAGCCACCUCAUAACUACAAUCUUCCAUGGUUAAAAAGAGAGCCGUAUCUAUUAUUUACUUGCCUAGAAAGAAAAGAAGAAGAAGAAGAAGAAGAAAAGCCACCUCAUAACUACAAUCUUCCAUGGUUAAAAAGAGUGCCAUAUCUAUUAUUUACUUGCUUUUUAAGUAAAGUCCACGCCCCCUCACAAAUCUUCUAGUACAAGGAACCCAGUCCCGUGAAACGCGCCGGCGUUGCUGCUUUUCCAUCUCGAAUAUAUUCAGUGCACCUUGCGUCAAUAUAAGUUCGUUUGCGCAAUUGAGAAUUGACACGUCACAGCCACCGUCUCUCCGGCCACCGUAGAAUCCACCGUCUCCAUCUUCGACACCCACCUCCCCCACCACCGUGGCGUCAAUAUGUUAUUGGCUCAGAGUGGGAAAAAGAAUGCACGCCGCGUCAAUGCUCGCGUUUUCUCGCUGCCGGCCAUUCCACCCUCCUCGCCCUGUUAACGUCUCGCGCAACUUCGGGGCACGGGUUAAAGAGAUGGAGCUUCGAGGAAGCUUCCGCCUCUCCUUCCUCGCCGCCCCCUCCCUCCUUCCUCCUCAUCCGCUUUGUUUAAUGUGUACCAGAAGUCGGAACAAAGUCAAAAGCUUGCUCCCCUCUGCUUUUCGCGGGGAUAUAUACAAUUGCACGCACGCAUCCAAACCAAAGCGGUGGUGGAGAGGUGUGGUGGCUUUCUGAAAAAGUGUAUCAGGAAUCGCGGCAUAUGGAGCACACAAGGCUUCCUCUCACCGACGAUCCUCCUCCUUCCUCCAUGGACGUCUUCGGUGACGACGACGACAACGACUCCUCCUCCGCUCCCUCAUGGCGUCUCCGCCUCACCGAGUUCCGCCUCCCUCCCCGCGACCCCCACGAGCCCCACUCUCGCUUCUCCUGCCGCCGCCUAUUCUCUGCUCCGAGUAUGUAUCUAUUUCCCUCUACGGCGCUUUUGACAUUUUCGCUGAUUGAUGGAAAUUGACGAGCUGCGUCCUGUAUAUAUCAUUCUCUGUCAACUUCUCUUGCGAAAGCGCCACCAUGUCUGUGACCGGCCUGCUUCUACUUGGUCCGUGAUUUUGUGUGUAUGUAGGGUUGACUUUUUGGGCUUGGUCCGCCUUGGUAGCUUACCACUGUGGUGAUUGGAACCGAAAAUAACACGUACUUUCAUCGCUUCACGUGUUUGGCCUGUUGUCUUGCUUCUAUUCGCUUAUUUUCGGUGGGGUGGAAUCGGUUCAUUUCUUAGCUACGCUGAGUACGAAGUCGCUUUGGAGCUUCUCUCUCUUCUUCUUUUUUUCCCCUGGUUAUAUUCUUCCAGCCAGAGGUGUCACUGUCAAUCCCCACAAACACAGAUCGGAAGUCAGCGAAGUCUGACUUGUUGCUUCUUUAGACCGUCCGCAUCCAUCCCGGCGCAUCCUCUCAACUUAGCUUUCUGCAAAACCCCACAAAAUUGUUCGAUACAGGGGAAGUCAUCCUGUAAGCGUCAUGUAAGCGAAAUGGAAAUUGGGUAUGGAGCUUUAAAAUGUUUGAGUGACAUGUGAUGGUUACUCUCACCCGUGGUCAAAAUCAGGUCAUACUGUUGGAGAGUCAAGUCAUAUCAUAGAAUGUUAUUGUACUUUCCACCUCACGGGCAGCUGUUUUGAUUUAAGUGCGAACCUUCUUUCUUUGGGUUGUCAGUGCUUAGAUUGUAUUCUAUAAUUUCAAUUCAGGGAAACAGCGCAAGCUAGCAGAAUAUUACAAGAAACAGGAAAGCCUCUUUGAAGGGUACAAUGAGAUGGAAUCCAUGACUGAGUCAGAGGGUUUUCCUGGAAGCCUCACUGAGGUAGAUUCUCUAUAGGUCACAUCUUCUUACAUUUCAGUAGUUGCAGACCUUAGUAUUGUGAAUUCUUACUCCUAGAAAAAGGAGAUUCUUUAGUAUAUCGAAAUGCUUCUCCACUUGGUAGCUCUCAAAGCAAGAGAAACAGUCGUGGAGAUCUUUCACAACUUCUGUUUAAAUUGGAGACUAAACAUGAGUUUAUGAUAUUAUAUUUCAAGUUUUCUAAGAAGAAAUUGUUUCUAAUGAAUGAACUGCAUUUUGUCAGGAUGAAAUGAAGCAGCUCGUAAAGAGUGAAAGAUUUGCAAUCCAUAUUUCGAACUUAGCAAAUAUUGUGCUUUUCAUAGCAAAGGUCUACGCUUCUGUUGAGAGCAGAUCACUGGCGGUUAUCGCAUCAACCUUGGAUUCUUUCUUAGAUCUACUAUCGGGUUUUAUUUUGUGGUUCACGGCAAAUUCAAUGAGGAACCCAAACCAUUAUCGUUACCCCAUUGGUAAGAGGCGGAUGCAACCAGUGGUAUGUUCCCCUGCUUCCUUGGAUAUAAAAUUUGUUGUUGAUUCAUGGGUAAACAUUCUAAUUGAAUCUGACUUUUCUUUGCUCCUACUAAAUUUCACUAGCCUAGCCUAGUUUUAUGACUAUAACUUGAUUCUUCUGUCCUGCCUUCUUUUCUGUUUGUUACGUAGCUUGAUUUACAAUGGCAUCCUCAUUAUUUGAUAGCUUCAGCUAGCUAAAUUUAUGUGAGACUUCAAAAAUAAAAGACGAGCCACUUACUGUGAUAAUGCAUGGCUCUGUUGAAGUACAUCUCCAAAUUAUAGUCAAUUUCCCUUUGCCUCAACAGUUAGCUCACUGAAGAAGGCGGCGUCAGAUAUAGCUUUGUAUAAAGGAGAAACCAGUCGAAAGGAAAAAUAAGACCAUGUCUUUUUUAGAUACUAGGAGCUAAUGACCCCAGUAUUACCACUACAAAUUCUAAAAUAUCUAGAUCAGAAUAAUGUAUUGAUGUAAUCGAUCUUUGUGAUUAAGCUACAAGUCUAAUGGUAUUGACGGCUUGAAAAUGCAGGGUAUUAUUGUAUUUGCUUCAGUAAUGGCAACUCUUGGCUUGCAAAUACUGUUGGAGUCUUUUCGAGAUCUUCUCUCCAAGGCAAGUGAUCUUUCUGUUGCUUGCUUUGUCGUGUCACUUGCAAACAUAUUCAUACAGAGGCUGGCAUAGUCUUGUUUACAGAGCAGUUUGAAUGGGAGGACUAGGUUUUCUAUUGAGUUAACAAUAAUGGAAAGAAGGCUUUGAGUCUCCUCUUCGGACUUGGAUAUCCUAGUCUUACUUUACUAUUAGAACUUACAUUAAGAGGAUAUGAACUUUUUUCUUUUGAUAACCACCGGCCGUGGUGGCUCUGUUGUGUAGGCUUCUGCCUUUGAAGGGAAAGGCUAGGUGUUCGAAGCCCCUGCAACGCAAGUUGCAGGAAGGCUGGCAGACCAUUAGGUGUAUUACGUGUGGCGCCCUAGUGGUGGGUCCUGGGCUAGCGUCACCUGGGGGUUUACGUGGCGACUGUCGGCCAAAGCGGUUCUUCCAAAAAAAAAAAAAAAAAACUUUUUUCUUCUGAUUGAUGUUGCUGCAUCACAGAAUGACCUAUUGGUUCACUCGGUUUGGCUGCCACCUUGCCAGUAACCAUUGUUUUAAGCUGGCGAACUUAAGAUGCAGUUACUAAAGCUUAGACUUCAUCCCAUCCGUCCAGUUCACUUAUCUUAUGCCAUUAUUUUUCAAUCAAAUCUACAUGCAGUCACACUCAAAGACUGAUCGUGGGAAGGAGAAGUGGAUAAUUGGGAUUAUGGUUUCUGUUACAGCGGUGAAGUUUGCCUUGAUGGUCUAUUGUCGAAGAUUCAAGAAUGAAAUUGUCAGAGCCUAUGCUCAAGAUCAUUUUUUUGAUGUUAUAACUAAUUCUGUCGGUCUGGUGGCGGUUGUCCUAUCUAUCCGCUACUAUUGGUGGAUAGAUCCAGUUGGAGCUAUAAUAGUAAGUUCAUCUCGAGCAAUCCUACUUUUAGUUUUUCAAUUGUGUGUUUCUGACUAUUAUAGAAUUACUAUCCCUCUCCAUCCUAUCAAUGGGUUUAUGUUGGGCACAACUUUUCUAAGCCAAAAUAUUACAUACUCUGCAGAUAGCAUUAUAUACCAUAACCACGUGGGCAAGAACGGUGAUUGAGAAUGUACGGUCGCUUAUUGGAAGAACGGCCCCCCCUGAAUUUAUAGCAAAGUUAACAUAUCUCAUUUGGAACCACCAUGAAGAGAUCAAGCACAUUGACACGGUGAGAGCUUACACUUUUGGUUCACAUUACUUCGUGGAGGUGGACAUAGUGUUGCCUCAAGACAUGCUCUUGAACCAAGCCCACAAUAUCGGGGAAAAACUUCAGGAGAAGCUGGAGCAAUUGCCUGAAGUUGAGCGAGCUUUCGUCCAUAUUGAUUUUGAGUUUAGUCACAGGCCUGAGCACAAGAAUAAAGUAUGAGCUAGAUGAUCAUAGCUGACCAUUUAGAGGUAGACGACCAUAUCUGAGCGUUGGGAGGAGAAGCCCAUUCAAAAGCAUUUUAUACCGACUGACAUGUGCUGUAAGAUUAAUUUUUGGCUAAAAUAAUGUUAUUAUUAGUAGAGCUACUUUGGAAAAAAUGCGCCCCCUUUGAAUGGAAUUGUAAUAAUGAGGAGAAGAUCCUUUUCCCAGUGGACGAUGCCAUUUUUAAGUGAAAUGAAACCGCUAUGUUUGGUGGCCUCUCCUUCUACAUGAACAUAAAGAAAGCAUAUAAGGCAUAUCCGAGGAUCAAACUGCAUGAGCUUCGUAAGUAAAAUGCAGGGCUCGAGUUUUUUCUUUUGCUACCACAUUAAUGCUAAUUACAAAUGUGUUGUCAAAGGAACUUCCUGCUUCUCUGAAGAAUCAAUCUGGCAUGGUUUUUCAUUAGGUGAGCAGGAUCUACGGACGUGAUUAAGUUGCCAAUGCCCUACUUCAUAUUUGUCCGUCAUAUGCUUUGUUAUAUGAAUACGUAGAUGUAUACAGAUCUAUUAACAAUAUAAAUGCUGUCUCUAGGAAAGAUGCUAGAAAUAUCAUAAGUCUGUGACAAAACUUGUUCAUAAUUGAAGAUGGGAUAUUCAGAGAGUAACAGAUCAACUACUUCGUUGAUGAGUCUCACUCAUUUCAAUACCCAACAUUCAUGUGUCACAGGUCGGUUGAACACGAUUGAUCAAACAGAUCACCGCGCGGCCUUAGGAUUUGUGAUCCCAAGUCAGCCUACUCACUCACACGCACCACACAAGGGUUGGCUGCACAAGGGGUGAAUGUAUUUCACUAUGAAUGAGCUGAGCUCAAAUGAGGGGGAGGGACCCCUUUUAUACAAGUUCGGGUCAAUUCUCGGCCGUGGAUCGUCCCUCCGAUCCAACGGCUGUGUUUGAACAAUGGCCAUCAUUACAAAUCAACUCAGCAAGCCGCUCAAGGGCUGCAAGCCUUGGGAAACAGCCAUAGGCCAGGCGCAAGUCAGAAGCAAGAUCAGGGGCAGCAUGGACGUGUCAGGGCCAGCAUGGGCGAGCAUGGCUGUUUGACACGGAGCAGGUGAACCACUCCUGGCUUGUGUAAGGGCUGGCCGAGGAUUGAUCAGGAGCUGCUUGCUGGUUGUGCACGGAUCAUUCCCUACAUUGUGCACGGGCGAAUCAGGCACGGAUCGCAGAUCGUGCAAGGGCCGAUUGGUGGAUCGGUCAGGGAUCAAUCAAGGGUCGAUCGGGGACUGAUCAGUGAUCGAUCAGGGAUCGAUCAUGGACUGAUGCGGGAUCGGUUAGGGACUAGUUGGGACAGGGAUCGAUCAGGGCGUUCCCAGCAAUGCCCUGGUGCGUGACAUGGCCGCGCACGGAUGGUCUUGGGCAUGCACCGUCCGUGCUCGGCCGUGUCACAUGCAUCAACUUCUACUUUUCUGGCCAUCAAAUUAGCUUGGCAAAAUAAUAUGACCAAAUCCCUCUCAUUCACCACACCCAAAUGCAGAGCCGAACCUCGUUUCUGAAACUCUGAAGGUCAUUCGUUUCUUUUUCUUCAUUGAUGCUCUGCACUACCAAAAAACAAACUGCAGGAGAUGUAUUUCGCAGGUUUCCUCCCUUUCGUUGAGACGUAUGCCAGGAACAUUGUGGUUUGCUAUUCCAUUAUUAACUGCUAUAGGUCACGACUCUCCUGAAGGUCAACUACUAAGAGAAAAGUGGUGGAUUACUUAGCUCGGACGCUUCGAAGCCCAAUCACAACUUUGAUCCUCAAUUCAAUUGUGCAAUUCAAAUCAUUUUGGAGCUGCCACAACCUAUUAUGGAUCAAAUAGGAAUCCAAGUAAAGCACGUGAGUCUGUUUUAUUUUCGUGAACUAGAGAAUCGUGAGUUUAGGAACUUGACAUUAGAUUAAUCUAACAUCAUUUCAAUACAAUUUUUUUCUCUUUUUAUGAAUGCGUUUGUCAUUCAAUCUUCAUCAUUUUCAUCAUCCUAAAUUGCUAACAUGUGAAAAUAAUCAUAAGAUAAACACCCAAUAAUCAAAGUAGUAAAUAAAUUAACCGCCCCAGUGACACAUCAACCAUGCCCCUUCCCUUUCUCCGAUCAUCAAGCCCUCCCGAUCACUUUCUUUGUCUUUCAUCCCCCUGAACAGCCCGUUCUUUUGAAUUUAAAAAAGAAAACGGGUGAACAUGUUUCCCCUUUGAAGUGGCGAAGGCCUAAUGCCUGAAGUAAGCAAAAAGAUAGGUGAAGGUUACGAAGUAAGUCGGCUGGUUAAGGAAAGCUCAGAUUAUGAAAUCGCUUAGCUGUUAAAUUAAUUAAAUUAAUGAAGUUCCCAUUUCAGGUUUCGGUGACUCUUCCUUCUCUUCUCUUUGGAGUGUGUUCAAGCUUAUGAAUUUGAGCCGAGGCCAAAUAAACGCACUUAGAAUCAUUGGUGAGAUAGAAUUAACUUACCACAAUAGGUAUUUGAUUACAAAUAUAAUAAAGAAGAUCUUCAAGCCUACCUCGAAAGAGUCAAUUGCCCAUUCCCCAUAGUUUUGGAUUCCGUUGUCCCUUUGCGCUUUGAUUAGGCCCACCUGCUGCUUCAUGCAAUAGCACGCUUCAAAGCAAAUGAGCUUCACCAGCUAUACAUGCAAUAGCACGCUCCGAAGCAAACGAGCUUCACCAGCUGUAGCCUUAUGAACUAGUCAAGUAGCUUCUUUCCGGCAAAGCUUACCAAUCCUACACUCCUUUCUCCUAUUCUCUGUCAAGUGGAGCCUUUCAGACAUCGACAAACCAAAAAGAUUCUGUCUCUCAUAAGGAGUCCUAAACAAAUCUACCGUUUUGGACGUACUCAAGGGCUUGGCUUGCCCAAAGGAGCCGCUUCUUACACUUUUCCAAUAGCUUAGUACUCAACAAGGGAAGAGGGAUAGCACUGAGCAACUGGCAAAGUGAAUUAGUCGUUUGAUUUCAAGUUCCACAGUAGGAUAAGGAAAAAUUAAGGAACUUGAAAUGCAUCGAGCAACCCUAAGGAAAGCCAAAUCAUUGAUCCCCAAGAUGGGAGCCUUGUAAACUAUCAGUCAGAACAUAACGAUGCAAUGAUAUAAUCUGGCCUACAUGUGAUGUAUACAACUUUUAUGAUUAUGUAUGGAACCUAAUCUAAUCUUUUUGGUUUUUUCUUCCUUUAAUUACCAUGACAAAUUCAAAAUUAUCUCUUAAUAUACCACAUGGCCGAAACUCUACAUGCAUGCAUAACUUGAAUUACCAGAUGAAAUGCAUGAUGAAUAACAUGAAUUAAUCCUAUCAUGCAACAAUUAACUAGACAUAACCUAAACGAGACAUUAAACUAAUUUCUUUUGUGGUUCUUUUUCUUUGAUUAAUGAAUGCAAAAUUAAUCCCUUGAAAGAGUACGUGGACAAGACUCUGCAUGUUAAGCCAACAUUCAUGAAAUUAAACUAAUUCACAGGAAAAAUAUGAUGAGAAUCGCAAAAGUUGCUGAGGCGACUGAUACAAACCUGUGGUGAUUUUGGUAGAAGUUGUUGAGCUGGUAGUAUCCAUAAAUAGGACGCUUCAUAUGCUUGGGCACCUGAUGAAAAAACAAAGUGGAGGAGAGAUCCCCUGUUAUAAUUAUGGUUAAUGGAUCAUAAUAGCUAACAAAUUAAGAUACGUCUUUUCUAUUCACGUAUCUAUUGAAUUUAUGAAUUUCCUAAAUUCAUCUAUCUUUUAAUUCAUAUAUUUAUUGAGUUUACGAAUAUCUUGAAUUCACGUGUCUCUGGAUUCAUGAAUUUUUUGGAUUCACGUAUCUCUUGAUUCAUGAAUUUCUUGGAUACAUGCAUCUAUUUAAUUCAUGUAUCUCUUCUGUAUAUGACUCUAUAAAUAGAUAAGAGCAUAGAACUUCAUGAGACGGUUUUCGAUAGUACAAUUCGAGACAAUGAUUCCAAAAGAGAUUUGAAAUACUACUAUACUCUUCUGAUUUUUUUGGAUGUACUGGUUCAAUUAAACAGUUCGACUGAGUCCUGUUUGCAUAGUGUUAAUCCAAACAGAUUUGAGGUGUUGUAUUUUGGGAGACAUAGUUCAUGAAUCUGCGGAAUACCAUUGGUAGGAACUAAUCGCCUUAAGGAGAUUCGGAUAUCCGUACCCCACCUCCAAUUUUAUGUUAUUUUUCCAGUAAUAUCUUAUUUUAUUCUUCUUCAAGAUUUGUAAGUUUACAUAAAAAUAAAGAUAUUAUAAAGCUGUUACCGUCUUCUUUACAUUGAUGUUCUGAUUAACAGUUUGCUUUCUCUAGAUUAUAUUCCAACACCCCCUGAGUUUCACAUAAUCGGUGUGAUCUUCUUUCAACUAAUAGUGGACAGUUGGAGGGUUAUUCAAGUUUUAAGUGCAACUAAUGCAUUAUUAAGUCCAGAAAAAACUUACUCUUGACAUCCUGUUGCAGGUUUUGUCCCCAGGUAUCUGUAUGUUCUGGACUCUAUCGGUUCUAUUGGAUGCUGGUAAGCACUCAAUGUCGUACUGAUCAAUCAUCUCGACAGCCUAAAAAAUAAGGAUAUAUAUAUAUAAACUACUGCACAUUAUCAUAAUGAUGAAAGCAACCAGCCUCGGGAUUAAGCUUACAUCACGGGAAGCAAACAAAGAGGCAAGUCCAAUUGGAAGGAAAACAAUGCUAACCAGCAUGAAUGCUGAAAUCACCUGCACAAAAAAUGGGAGACUUCAGUAUUUUUAUCAGGAAUUGGCAAAUGGUUACGAGAUGUACAUAUUUUAGACUUGGUUAUCUUUGAGGGUGCGUUCUUCGAUGGAAGGACAACUAUGUCGUCAUUUUGUUCUUGUUAAAGUCAGGGUGUGACAAUACCUUGUCGAUUUGGGGGUAAAAUGUACAGCACAAAAUGGUUGGUCAUUCACUCUUUCAAAUGGGGUAAACAUUUCUUCUUUUUCUCUCCUUCAGCAAAUGUUCAUUUAGAAUCUUUCAGAACAAAUUACUGUAAUAUAGAAACAUUCGACCGCGAAUAUACAUUCCCAGGUCUGUUUUAGUUGUAGGAUUGCCUCAUGGAUUCUCGAAUUGAAGGAAUUGAUCUGGUUUUAUCCUACAUAAGCAAAUUUUGCUACCCAAAAUAUUUUCUUGACGGAGGCGAAAUAACCCGAAAAUGAAAAGAGAAAACCCCUAACCAACUUGCAGUUAAAGGGGGCCAUCACUAUGGGGUGGUCACCUUCACAAUGACUAUUGCUACAACUUAGAAAGGACCGACACUCUCUGAAAGUUUUCGAGUUGUGUCGGACACUCCGACAUAUGUUCGAUACUUUCGGACAUUCUCUAACACGUAGUCAAUACGUGUUGGAAAAUCCAACACCUGAUCAAUUGUCUUGAUACUCUCCGGCACUCGAGUCAAAAAUACGAAAUGUGAGUUUUUGACACGUGAUUUCAAUACAUGAUAUCAAUUUUUAAAAAUUUCAAUAAAUGAUAGGUUAAAAUGUAUAUAUGUGAAAAAAUAAUAAUAAUAAUAAAUAAAGGAAGAAGAAAAGCCUAAUCUUCUCUUCUUUUCUGACUCUCACUUUUUUUGAUACAUAAUUCACCCUCCAAUGUUUUUUUUUUCCUUUUCUCUACUGACACGUCUGACAUGUGAGUCAAGAAUGUGAAUUGUUUGUUUUUUUCUUUCAAUUUUUAUGGAUAUUGGAAUGGAGUAGAAUUUGUCAAAUUAAAACAAUAAAUGAUACUAAUAAAUUAUGGAUUAAUGUUUUUAGUAUAAACUUAUUCUAAACUUUUUACUAUUAUUAUUUAUUUAUUUGUGAAUUUGAAUCAAAUUAACGUAAAAAUGAUAACUUAUUAUGUAUAUAUAAUACAUUUAAUAUAUAACGUGUUCUAACGUGUCAGAACUCUUUGUUUUUUGAGAAAUGACGUGUUAAUGUGUCUGUUCUGUUGUGUCGCGUGUCGCAUAUCGGUAUCAAUACUAGUUAGGCUACAACUACGGCAAAGGGUGACCAGAGAUGUUCACGACCCCAAUGGCAAAUGAAGAUAGAGAAUCCCUUUACUUAUGUUUUUGUUGAUUUUGUUAUCUUAUCCGGUCGGGUAAAAUUAUCUUCUCCCUAUAGUCCGAACAACUCAUCUGAGUUCUCAUUCAAAUCCAGAUUAUGCCGAUCUAUCCAAUCCGGCUCCUCGAACGUGCCCGCCCUUAUUGUUUAAUGAGCAAGGAUUUCAUUUGCCUAAGUAAACAACGGGGAGGAAACUCCUAGAGUCCUUUACCAAGGGCAGUCCAUAGCUGAAAUCUAUAUGAUGAAGAACAUCAUCUCAUCAGCAGUGGUAUUAAGAUCACCAACGUAGUGCAUCUUCAUCUUUCAAUGGUUUCCAUGCAAAGUAUAAUAAGGGUGCAUUUGGUAAUUGUUCUACUCUCUAAAAUAAUUUCUACUUAGAUUUUUUUUUUUUUUUCUGAUUCUAUUCCUUAAACGAAUUUUUAAGCAUUUGAAGGCAUUUGGUACGAUCCUUAAAUUCUUUUGUGACUUAAAAUUUCUUUUAAUUUUUAAAUAAUUUUAUUAAAUUUUUCUAUUUUUCUUCUUCUUCUUCCUUUAGCCAGUCACCAGCUAAGACCAAGGCCUAUGACUGGCUAAAGGAGGAAGAAUAAAAGGAAAAAAAGAAAAGAAAAUAGAUAAAAAGAAACAACUUUGAUUUUAGAAUUAUUCUUGAGAACAAAAAGUGACUUUUUCCCACUUUUUAGUUCUGUUUCAAAUCUAUUAUUGGAAAUAAAAAAAAUACCAAAAUAGAUUAUUUUUUGAAGAAUAAAAGAAUAAAAUUAAAUAUUAUUUAACAUGUUAUCAAAUAAAUCCUAUGUAAAAGUAGUCCACAUCAAAUUGGGGUCUCAUUUAUCAAGAAGUUGUAGGUUUUCAUUGAGUCGAGUCCGUGCUCGUCUAAAGAAGGCCCCCUGAUGAAGGAACCUCCCCCUUGGACAAGACCCUCAAAUGAUUCGCGUGCUUCUUAUCUUGUUACUUUUACCACUUGGUUUCGACACGGGACAUAAUAGAUUAGGGCGGCCCAUAAGGAGAAGGGAUGACGAUGUCGUAAAGGUGACUUCUUAUAUUUUAUUGCCUCUCACCGCCAGGUGGUUGAUUGAGAAAUGUGCCAUGAUUUGCUUUCAGAUCCUAAGCCUUUUGUGCGAUUCGAGUUGUCGUUUUCCCGGGGCAAGUGGAUUGGUUGGGAUUCCGAAAUGGGACUAUCGUACACGGAAUAAUGCUUAGUUUAUUUGAGCUAUAAUUAGGGUAAGUUAAGUGACGAAGUCGGGGAGCGUGGAAGAUAAGGUUAGGUGUCUUACACUCAGAUGUCACGCUCCUAAAAGCACUCACGACUCCUCUUAUUCGUUCUUUUGCCGUCACCGGAUAGAGAAAGGAGACCAUUUCUUCACGAACGCCUCGUGUGAUAUUGAGGCAAUGCCAUGGCUGUUGUAGUUAUUAAUGAGAGAUUUUUAUGGGGUCAUAACCAAUUGUUCUAAAAAUAUAAAUUGUUAAAUGGAGGUAUAGUUUAAUAUUUAUGAGAUAACUAUCGAUUUUAGAAGUUUAAGCUAUUAGAUCACUCUAACAGCUCAAAUGUCGUUUCAUUCUGAACUUUUUGCUUGGAACGCCAUUUGGGGGAAGGUGGAGUGCUUUUUGCGAUGGAGAAGCGAGAGGAAGCUUUGUCCUCUCCUUUUUCGCUGCCCACCCCAAUUUGUUUAAGGAACAAAUUCAAAAAAGCUUGGCUGUUUUGCUUUCGUGGGGUUUUGCCCCGUUUGGCAACACAGUCCCUGCUCUCUCCCUCUCUCCUUUUGGACUUUGCUCAUAUCAUCAUCAGCAGAAGAAAGUACUAUUACUCUUCUGAAGUUGCAUAAGUUGGGUGAAAUCUCGAGGUCGUGUGAGAACAAAAGCGUGCACAACGUAUCGAUGCUGCGACGUGAGAUGAAAGCGUAACUACUAUCUAAACCGGUAUUUACGGAACAGCUCGGUCGACUCAGUAAUUACAUUUGGGAGAUGUGCUCCUGGGAAGGAGAAGGACAUCUAAGAUGUAAUAUAUGAUGAUGAACAGGAUGUACAAAUGCAGGAAUUGGAAGUUGGCCAUUUGUCUGGUGACGGGAGAUGCUCGCGAAUGCCAGUUUUUUACCAAGUCUCGUUCCUAAUAUUAGGUACGAAGUUCGUCUAAAAUGGUGAGUGAGAGAGAAAGUGGGUUCACCAAUACCUUAUAUUAUUAAUACUAUGUUAUAUUAUAUUAAAUUAUAUUAUAUUAUAUGGUAUCUUUCUUGAGGCCUUCCCAAAAUGCAGUAAUUUAAACGAUACGUGCAUGCGUGGGUGGGUGGGUAUAUAAUAUAAAGAAUGGAAAGGUAGAGAUGAGAGCUUGGGCCUCCCAUCAUCCAAACAGGUCCCCUCCCCGGUGCGUCGUUGUGGCUUGCUUCCUGGAAAACCGACUCCGGAAUUACAGAUUUUCCUGGCGACAAUCAUGGAGCAGAACAGCCCCCAACACCUGAGCGUCACCAUUGGCGAAUCCCGUCGCGAGCUCCUCUCUCCCCUCCCCGACGAUCCUCCCCCUUCCUCCAUGGACGUCUUCGUCGACGACGACGACGGCUACGACGGCUCCUCCGCUCCCUCAUGGCGUCUCAGCCUCACCGAGUUCCACCUCCCUCCCCGCGACCCCCACCGCCGCCGCCCCCUCUCUCGCUUCUCCUGCCGCCACCUUCUCCCUGCUCCGAGUAUCUCUCUCUCUCUCUCUCUCUCUCUCUCUCUCUCUCUCUCCAUGCCGCUUUUUCCGUGGAAGUGAAACUGCCUCCGUCGUAGUGUCAAAAUCCUGGCAUUUCCAUUUCCUUGCUUAUUCGCCGUUAUGUAUCUCUGUUGCGUAAUCCAAGCAUCUCCCGUGUUACACUUCGCACGAUCGCCACCCUCCGUGCGAUCGCCUCAUGCUUCGGCUUCUCUCCAUCGAAAGCAGCGACGCCUUCUCUGGAACGCAUGCGCCGUCGCUAACUCCAUGAAACUACGUUGAUACCUUAGACCAUGCUUUUGACAUUUUCGCUGGUCGACGGAAAUUAACAUGCCGUAUCCUGUCUGCAUCAUUUUUCUGGCAACUUCUCUUGCAGAAGCGCCACAACGUCUGGGACCGACCUGCUGUUGCUUGGUCCGUGUUUGUAUUUAUGGGUGAAUUUGUGCUUGGUCCGCUGGGCAGUGUUCCACCGUGGUGGGAUCCCACAAUAACACAGAUAUUCAUUGCCAAGUACUUGGAAUUGUUGAUUAUGACAUAGCUUUCGAGCCUUUUUUUCUUUUCUUUUCUUCUAGCCAGCACCCAGCAGUAUCAAUCAACAGAAACGCGGAUGAAAGUUAACGAGGUCUGACUUGUUGCUUCAUUAGACCGUCUAAAUCCAUCGCACCGUGUCCUUUCGACUUAGCUUUCUGUAAAACCUGUCAAAACUGAGCGGUACGAGGAAAGUCAUUCCGUAAGCAUCAUUUUAGUGAAAUGGAAAUUGAGUAUGAAGUUUUAAGAUGUUUAGUGGCAUGUAAUGGCUACUCUCACCCGUGGUCAAAUUCAGGUCAUAGUGUUGGGGAGUCAAGUUAUAUUAUAGAAUGUUAUUGUGCUUUCAACAUUAGGAGAAACCGUUCAAGUCUGGAUCUCCUUAUUUUGCUUGUAACUGACUCAGAUUGUAUUCAAUAAUUCCAAUUCAGGGAAAGAGCGCAAGAUAGCAGAAUAUUACGAGAAACAGGAAAGCCUUCUCGAAGGGUACAAUGAGAUGGAGGCCAUGACUGACUCAGAUUGUUUUCCAGGAAGCCUAACUGAGGUAGAUUGCAUGUAGCUCAUAUCAUCCUACUUUUCGUUAGUUUCAGACCUCCGAGGGGAUUGUGCUUUCUUAGCUCUAGGAAAAGCAGAUUCUUCGGCAUAAUGAAAUGCUUCUCCACUGGGUAGCUGUUGAAGCAAGAGAGACAAUCAUUGAGAUAAUAAACCUGAUUUUAUGACAUUGUACUUCGAGUUUUCUAAGAAGACAUCGCUUGUGAUCAAUUAACUGCAAUCUGUCAGGAUGAAAUGAAGCAGCUCGCAAAGAGUGAAAGAUUUGCGGUCCAUAUUUCAAACAUAGCAAACUUGGUGCUUUUCAUAGCAAAGGUCUUCGCUUCUGUUGAGAGCAGAUCGCUGGCAGUUAUCGCCUCAACCUUGGAUUCAUUCUUAGAUCUACUAUCAGGUUUUAUUUUGUGGUUCACGGCAAAUGCUAUGAGGAAACCAAACCAAUAUCAUUACCCUAUUGGUAAGAAGCGGAUGCAACCAGUGGUAUGUUCCCCUGAUUCCUUGGUUAAAAAAUUGUCGCGGAUCCAUGGGGAAACACAUGAAUCGAAUCGACUUUUCUUUUGCUCCCACUUAAUUUCGCUAGCCUUGCCUAGACCUAUGACUAUUAACUAUUGUUAUGGAUUACUUUCUCCCUUACUACUGGAAAAACGAGAUGUUCGAUUCUGACUGACCAUGUAACUUGGUUCUUCUGCCGUGCCUUCUUUUCUCUUUGUUAUGUCACUCGAUUACGAUGGAGUGCUCAUUUUUCGAUAGCUUUAGCAACCGUGAUAAUGCAUGUGUUAUCUUUAGAUAACAGCUGGCUGCUUAGUUGAAUUACAACAACAAAUUAUACUCAAUUUCCCUUUGUCUCUAUGAUUAGCUCACAAGAGAAGGCAGUGUCAGAUAUAGUUUGUGUAUAGCAGGGCUAUUGAAGUACUGUAGGAUGAAGCGUGGCACUGAUGACGGGAACCAAAUUGCCAUGCAGACCAGGGGUGACCAAAAAAUGACAAGAGUAGACGGUUCUGGUUUGAUUUGGCUUCAGGUCGAGAUUAUGUUGGUGGUGUCUUGAGUGUAUCCAUUGUUGGGUCCCUGUGGUCCGUUACUUACGAAAACCUGAUCAAUAUGAAUUUUAAGUUGUACUUAAUCCAUCUCUGAUAUUGAUUAACCACGUGAAGUACUUAAGACUAAAUAGCAUCAGAGCUAAGUGAAAUUUGGGAUGUUACAGUUCUGGUUUCACAGCGGAUUAUGGAGAGAUUAGGUGGAUUAGGAUUAGGAAGACAGAGCUGCUUUGGUUUUCGGAGUGAUGAGGUGAUUCAAGGCUUAGAGAAUGUAAUAGCCUGUACCCAUGAGAAUUACUAGGAUUUACACAAGUUAAUAUUAGGUCAUUACGAUUCUGAGAUCAAAGCUAAGUGAAAUUUGUGAUGUUACAUGUGGUGUUGUCUUACAAUCCUUCGUUUUAAUGUCCAAACACAAUAAAUCACAGUAAUGAGAGAGAGAAGAGGGGAGGGGGGGGGGGGGGGGGGGAGAGAGAGAGAGAGAGAGAGAGAGAGAGAGAGAGAGAAUUAUGAACCAUACCAAACUAGUUUUUUUUUUCAUUGGUUCAACUCAACAUCUUCAGUUCUUUUUUUUUUUUUGGUAAAGAACAUCUCCAAUUCAUUUGAUCAGCACAUAAACAAAAAAACUGUUUUGUCUACAAAUCAAUGAAUAAGAUGGCCGCAGUUUGACAUAGAUGCUAUUUAUAUGUCGGAUGGGUAAAAAUAGUUAAAUGAAUGCUUGUUAUAAGAGAGAAACCAGUCAAAAGGAAAAAUAAGACUGUUUUUUUAGGUACCGGGAGUCGAUGACCCCAAUAUUAUAAGCAAUGAGAAAUUGCUUGAAAUUUUCUCGAUCAGAGUAAUAUGUGUUGACUAAUCAAACUUUCUGAUUAAGCUAUGAGUGUAAUGGUAUUGGUGGUUUGAAAAUGCAGGGUAUCAUUGUAUUUGCUUCAGUUAUGGCAACUCUUGGCUUACAAAUCCUGCUGGAGUCUGCUCGAGAAAUUCUCUCCAAGGCAAGUAAUCUUUAUGUUGUUUGCCUUUUCAUGUCCCUUUGCAAACAAAUUUAAAUACAGAGCCUGGGAUAGACUAGUUUACAGAGCAGUUAGAACGGGAGGAGUUCUAUUCAGCUAAUAAUAAUUGAAGAAGGCUUUGAGUCUUGUCUGGGUACUUGGAUAUUCUAGUCAGUCUUAAACUUUAAGAACUUACCUUAAGUAUAUAAACUUCUUCUUCCGAGUUUUCAUUUGGAUACUCCUAGAAAUUUCCGGAAAAAAAAAAUGUUUUUGCAUCACAGAUGACCUUCAUUCGAUUUUACUACCACUUCCCAAUAAAUCAAAUGUUUUAAACACGCAGACUUAAGGUACACUUACUAAAGUUUAGACUGUCAUCUCACUCCUCCAGUUCACUCAUUUUAUCCCACUCAUCUUAUCCCAUUAUAUUUCAAUCAAAUCUACAUGCAGUCACGCCCAGAUACUGAUCAUGAGAAGGAGAAGUGGAUGAUUGGGAUUAUGGUUUCUGUUACAGUAGUGAAGUUUGCCCUUAUGAUUUAUUGCCGAAGAUUCAAGAAUGAAAUCGUCAGAGCAUAUGCUCAAGAUCAUUUCUUUGAUGUUGUAACUAAUUCUGUCGGUCUGGCGGCGGCUGUCCUAGCCAUCCAAUACUACUGGUGGAUAGAUCCAGUUGGAGCUAUAAUAGUAAGUUCAUCUCGAGCAGUCCUACUUUGAGUUUUUCCAUCGUGUGUUUCUGAGAGUUAUAGAUUUACUGUUCCCCUCCAUCCUAGCCAUAUAUUUAUGUUAGUGCACAACUUUUCUCAGCCAAAUUAUGACAUACUCUGCAGAUAGCAAUAUAUACCAUAAGCACGUGGGCAAGAACGGUGAUCGAGAAUGUAUGGUUGCUUAUCGGAAGAACGGCCCCACCUGAAUUUAUAGCGAAGUUAACAUAUCUCAUUUGGAACCACCAUGAAGAGAUCAAGCACAUUGACACGGUGAGAGCUUACACUUUUGGUUCUCAUUACUUCGUGGAGGUGGACAUAGUAUUACCUGAAGACAUGCUCUUGAACCAAGCCCACAAUAUUGGGGAAAUGCUUCAAGAGAAGCUGGAGCGAUUGCCCGAAGUUGAGCGAGCUUUCGUCCAUAUUGAUUUUGAGUUUACUCAUACGCCUGAGCACAAGAAUAAAGUAUGAGGC